ncrna:unclassified sequences ssnA RNA
UUGUUUGUAGCUGCAACGUAGUGCUUCGCGCACGGGCUGUACAGUCGU